rnacentral:rRNA from 1 species
UUCAAUUGAAGAGUUUGAUCAUGGCUCAGAUUGAACGCUGGCGGCAGGCCUAACACAUGCAAGUCGGGCGGUAACAGAAAAGCGCUUGCGCUUUGGCUGACGAGCGGCGGACGGGUGAGUAAUGUCUGGGGAUCUGCCCGAGGGCGGGGGAUAACCACUGGAAACGGUGGCUAAUACCGCAUAAUGUCGCGAGACCAAAGUGGGGGACCUGAAAGGGCCUCA